AAAUAAAAAAGAUAGGUCACCGACAUCGUUGUUGAGAUAGCGGCACAUUUAUGGGUUAAAUUGGAAGGCUUUAUGCUGUCGUCAUGUUGCCAUGGGAACAUUGACAUCGUCGAAAUCUAGUUCGAAAUAUUCCUUAGGUGACCAAUAUUACCACCAAGUCGAAAAGAAUUCGCGUUUUGCACGAAUAAGCCUGUUUUACGGAAUUAUUGCUUAAACAAGAAUAACUGUAGGGAGCCACCUUAACUUAACACGAAAAAUUGUCCAUUUUUCUAGAACAUGCAAUGGAUGUUAAAAUACAACAAUAUCAGCUGUCCUGUUUAUAAAGAGGACAUUGUAAAAGCAAUAAAAUUCAAGCUGGACAACAAAGAGCAGGGAAGGAAGAGCAAUGAAUUGAACAAGAAACUGAGAUUAGUUGACAAUUAUACAUUAUAAUUUUAUAUGGUUACUAUAUUGUUCAUUUACUUAAUAUACAGCUAAUUCAAUGGACCUAUGACAAAAAUUUCAUCACAGCUUGAAAGAGCAUCACACACACGCUUUCUGAAAAAAGGUAUCAAAUUCUCUUGCGUAACACAAAAUAACUGAAAAAACGCGAAACUUCGCAGUGCUAUAUAAGAUAUUAGCCGCAUUUUACAACAUUUUGCAACGAAACGUCGGAAUAUUACUAAUUUUGUGAUGCUUUGUCUAGACUUGUCGAGAUCAAAUUUUGUUCAUCAGGGAAUAGGUCCACUAAGGUUGUCCUUCCAAAAACGUAAACCUUAAACUCUGAGCAAGUAAAGUAUGUUUGGUUAUUGCUUAUUUAGACUCAUAAAC